AGCUUUUCAGCUGCUACUCAAGUUCAUUUUGCCAAUAGUGUAGACUCCAGCAAUAGCAGUACUAUUCACGCCGACCCCCCAAAUGUGGCUAAUCUCGAGGAAAAGAACUCUAGUAGUAUCCCCCUCGGUCUGCAUGGUCAUUUUGCAAAUGGAGAGGCAAGUUUUGGACCUGCAUCUGGUUUGAUUUCUUACUCAGGUCACAUAGCACAUUCGGGUAACAUCUCUCUUCGUUCAGAUAGCAGCACAACCAGUGCCAGAUCCUUCGCCUUCCCAGUAUUACAAUCUGAAUGGAACAGUAGUCCAGUAAGAAUGGCGAAGGCAGAACGGAGACAUUAUAAGGGUUG
rnacentral:misc_RNA from 1 species